CCUACGGGAGGCAGCAGUAAGGAAUAUUGGUCAAUGGACGCAAGUCUGAACCAGCCAUGCCGCGUGAAGGAUUAAGGUCCUCUGGAUUGUAAACUUCUUUUAUCUGGGACGAAAAAAGGCGAUUCUUCGUCACUUGACGGUACCAGAUGAAUAAGCACCGGCUAACUCCGUGCCAGCAGCCGCGGUAAUACGGAGGGUGCAAGCGUUAUCCGGAUUCACUGGGUUUAAAGGGUGCGUAGGCGGGCAGGUAAGUCAGUGGUGAAAUCCUAGAGCUUAACUCUAGAACUGCCAUUGAUACUAUCUGUCUUGAAUAUUGUGGAGGUAAGCGGAAUAUGUCAUGUAGCGGUGAAAUGCUUAGAUAUGACAUAGAACACCUAUUGCGAAGGCAGCUUACUACGCAUAUAUUGACGCUGAGGCACGAAAGCGUGGGGAUCAAACAGGAUUAGAUACCCUGGUAGUCCACGCCCUAAACGAUGAUUACUCGACAUUUGUGAUACACUAUAAGUGUCUGAGCGAAAGCAUUAAGUAAAUCCACCUUGGGAAGUACGACCGCAAGGUUGAACUUCAAAUUGAAUUGAGG
rnacentral:rRNA from 1 species